rnacentral:rRNA from 1 species
UCCUACGGGGGGCAGCAGUGGGGGAUAUUGCACAAUGGGGGGAACCCUGAUGCAGCGACGCCGCGUGGGUGAAGGAGUAUUUCGGUAUGUAAAGCCCUAUCGGCAGGGAAGAAGAAAGACGGUACCUGACUAAGAAGCCCCGGCUAACUACGUGCCAGCAGCCGCGGUAAUACGUAGGUGGCAAGCGUUGUCCGGAUUUACUGGGUGUAAAGGGCGUGUAGCCGGGCCGGCAAGUCAGAUGUGAAAUCCCAAGGCUCAACCUUGGAACUGCAUUUGAAACUGUUGGUCUUGAGUAUCGGAGAGGG